GUUAAAUUUCAAUCAAUAUCAAACCAUCUGUAAUAUUUCAAUUGCUAAAAAAAAUUCCAAGCUAUUUCCACUGAACGCGUUGCAUAGCAGCAACAACAAAAUGCCGACUAUAAAGUUAUGGAUUUGCUGAUGGGCAAAUGCAAAUGUAAAUGUAAAAUGAUACGCAAAUCGUAUUUCGCGCAAGUUGUUGCGAGUUUGCACAAAAUCAAUUAAAUCGAAAUGCAAAUCACCACAAAUUAGCUCCAAGCGCUACAGUUUCACAAAAUGCGGCUAUAACAAUUAUAAUUUUGAGAUUUUGUGUACUCCCAGGCGUAUGCGUAACGUACAUUAUUUUAUUUAUAUACAUGUACAUAUAUAUGUAGUUGCUUAUACAGCAUUCGCUUGUUCGAGGCUCUAUAUAAAAAUAUUAUCAUUGAGGAUUUCUUGAUACGAAUACAUAUCUAUUCUUCUAUAUGUCAAUUGAUGGUAGUGACUUUUUUGACAUAAAUACUAGUAAUAAUUUGUUCUUCUAACUUCUAACAAUCUUAUAUAGAUGAUAUAUAUGAUAUGAUCAGUAAUAUGUGAAAUUAUGUUAACUGUAAAUAUGUGUCUACAUUCUAUAUACAAAUGGAAGAUACAGCCGCUAAUAAAUUCAAUGAAUGAAUGAACACGUUACGAAGAAUCUGUGCAAGUCCCUUUUGAGAGGGAUAACAUACUUGCACGUCGGAUUAUAAUGAAGAUAUUGAGUUCUUAUUGAGGGGCGAUUGCUGCACGACUAAUUAUAUAACGAAGAAAAAUUAAUACAACUACAACUACUCUGAAUUGAUGAUAAUGAAAAACUUACGUUUAUACGUACUACGAUGAUAAAUUACCUCAUGUGUUACUGCAACUUACAAUGAAGAAAAAGAGCGUUAUGAAGGGCAGAUUUUUAAAACCAAUCGCAACCAUAGCAAGAUCAAAAUCCAAUUUAGUGUCAGUUCUUUAAAUGCAAUUUUGAAAAUUGCUUUGAAAAUUCAGAACUGUAACAUUUUCGCACGUACUUUUCACACUGAGCAACAACUGGGCUUAAGGAAAACUUUACAAAAUGAUGCACUUAAAGUUAUUAUUUCAACCGAUUAUUGCAACUGCCACAACGCACGAUUGCACAUUUAACGAUGCCUUUAUGUGUGUGCCACAGCCAUAUUUAAAUGAAAUUUUAAGUGCUCGACAUCAGAAACAGCCCACGCGGCGACCAAACAGCAGUGCUCGAGACAAGGAGAGAAGAUGAGAGCACACUUCGUUGUGGCAUUAUUAUAAUGACUGUUGCAGCAAAAUUCACAACGCACCUGACUCGCAUAACACUUUUAAGAGGAAGCUGCACGCUUUGAGCGAAUGUCCUGCCAGCUGCUGACAUUAGUCCAUUAGUGCACAAACAAACAAAGAAACGGAAAGCAGACAGAGCGUUGGAACUGAAUAGUCUAUAGUACACUGUUGAGAUGUUAGCCUGAUCUCAGACUAUGCCAGACAAAAUAUAUUUAAAUGUCAAAA